rnacentral:rRNA from 1 species
GACGAACGCUGGCGGCGUGCCUAAUACAUGCAAGUUGAGCGCUGAAGGUUGGUACUUGUACCGACUGGAUGAGCAGCGAACGGGUGAGUAACGCGUGGGGAAUCUGCCUUUGAGCGGGGGACAACAUUUGGAAACGAAUGCUAAUACCGCAUAAAAACUUUAAACACAAGUUUUAAGUUUGAAAGAUGCAAUUGCAUCACUCAAAGAUGAUCCCGCGUUGUAUUAGCUAGUUGGUGAGGUAAAGGCUCACCAAGGCGAUGAUACAUAGCCGACCUGAGAGGGUGAUCGGCCACAUUGGGACUGAGACACGGCCCAAACUCCUACGGGAGGCAGCAGUAGGGAAUCUUCGGCAAUGGACGAAAGUCUGACCGAGCAACGCCGCGUGAGUGAAGAAGGUUUUCGGAUCGUAAAACUCUGUUGGUAGAGAAGAACGUUGGUGAGAGUGGAAAAGCUCAUCAAAGUGACGGUAACUACCCCAGA